CUUCAUCGAUCUGCUGCGGACAGAUGAAAUGGAUGUGAGUGUCGAUCCCGCCCGCGGUGAGUAUCAUGCCUUCGCCGGCGAUGAUUUCCGUCGCCGGACCGAUUACGAUCGUGACGCCGGGCUGGAUGUCGGGAUUACCUGCCUUUCCGAUACCGGCGAUCCGUCCGCCCUUGAUGCCGACAUCGGCCUUGACGAUGCCCCAGUGAUCGAUGAUCAGCGCGUUCGUGAUCACCGUAUCGGCGCAAUCCUUCGAAACGCGCUGGCUCUGGCCCAUGCCGUCGCGGAU
rnacentral:sRNA from 1 species